rnacentral:misc_RNA from 1 species
AAGUCGUAACAAGGUUUCCGUAGGUGAACCUGCGGAAGGAUCAUUACAAGUCGCACUUUACGUGCGUUACCGUCUCCUUACGGGGAUAUCCUUUGUCUAUGAGCACCCUUUUUCCUCAGCAGGCCUGCCUGCUGGGAGACUUUACACCAAACCUUUUUGUAAUAACUGUCUGAAACGUAAUAAACCAAUUACAACUUUCAACAAUGGAUCUCUUGGCUCUG